UAUACGACCGUACCGCAAACCGUCACUGGUGCGCGAGAUGAGUAUUCUAAGGCGCUUGAGAGAACUCAGGAGAAGGAACUCGGCAAAUUGACACCGUAACUUCGGAAGAAGGUGUGCCCUAUUAGUGUGUAGUGAACAACGAAGCAUGAAUGGGUUGCAAAAAAUCGGUGGCUGCGACUGUUUAUUAAAAACACAGCACUCUGCAAACACGAAAGUGGACGUAUAGGGUGUGACGCCUGCCCGGUGCUGGAAGAUUAAAUGAUGGGGUGCAAGCUCUUGAUUGAAGUCCCAGUAAACGGCGGCCGUAACAAUAACGGUCCUAAGGUAGCGAAAUUCCUUGUCGGGUAAGUUCCGACCCGCACGAAUGGCGUAACGAUGGCCACACUGUCUCCUCCUGAGACUCAGCGAAGUUGAAAUGUUUGUGAUGAUGCAAUCUCCCCGCGGAAAGACGGAAAGACCCCAUGAACCUUUACUGUAGCUUUGUAUUGGACUUUGAACAGAUCUGUGUAGGAUAGGUGGGAGGCUUUGAAGCAGGGUCGCUAGAUCUUGUGGAGCCAACGUUGAAAUACCACCCUGGUGUGUUUGAGGUUCUAACCUAGGUCCAUUAUCUGGAUCGGGGACAGUGCAUGGUAGGCAGUUUGACUGGGGCGGUCUCCUCCCAAAGCGUAACGGAGGAGUUCGAAGGUACGCUAGUUACGGUCGGACAUCGUGACGAUAGUGCAAUGGCAUAAGCGUGCUCAACUGCGAGACUGACAAGUCGAGCAGAUGCGAAAGCAGGACAUAGUGAUCCGGUGGUUCUGUAUGGAAGGGCCAUCGCUCAACGGAUAAAAGGUACUCUGGGGAUAACAGGCUGAUACCGCCCAAGAGUUCAUAUCGACGGCGGUGUUUGGCACCUCGAUGUCGGCUCAUCUCAUCCUGGGGCUGUAGCCGGUCCCAAGGGUAUGGCUGUUCGCCAUUUAAAGAGGUACGUGAGCUGGGUUUAAAACGUCGUGAGACAGUUUGGUCCCUAUCUUCCGUGGGCGCUGCAGAUUUGAGGAAGCCUGCUCCUAGUACGAGAGGACCGGAGUGGACACACCUCUGGUGUAUCGGUUGUCACGCCAGUGGCAUUGCCGAGUAGCUAAGUGUGGAAGAGAUAACCGCUGAAAGCAUCUAAGCGGGAAACUCGUUUCAAGAUGAGAUCUGCCGGGGCCUUGAGCCCCCUAAAGAGUCGUUCAAGACCAGGACGUUGAUAGGUCAGGUGUGGAAGUG
rnacentral:rRNA from 1 species